UACGUAGGGUGCGAGCGUUAAUCGGAAUUACUGGGCGUAAAGCGUGCGCAGGCGGUUUUGUAAGUCUGUCGUGAAAGCCCCGGGCUCAACCUGGGAAUGGCGAUGGAGACUGCAAGGCUAGAGUGUGUCAGAGGGGGGUAGAAUUCCACGUGUAGCAGUGAAAUGCGUAGAGAUGUGGAGGAACACCGAUGGCGAAGGCAGCCCCCUGGGAUAACACUGACGCUCAUGCACGAAAGCGUGGGGAGCAAACAGG
rnacentral:rRNA from 1 species